rnacentral:rRNA from 1 species
CCUACGGGAGGUAGCAGUGAGGAAUAUUGGUCAAUGGGCGAGAGCCUGAACCAGCCAAGUCGCGUGAAGGAUGAAGGACCUAUGGUUUGUAAACUUCUUUUAUAUGGGAAUAAAGUGUGGAACGUGUUCCUUUUUGUAUGUACCAUAUGAAUAAGGAUCGGCUAACUCCGUGCCAGCAGCCGCGGUAAUACGGAGGAUGCGAGCGUUAUCCGGAUUUAUUGGGUUUAAAGGGAGCGUAGGUGGUUAGUUAAGUCAGCGGUGAAAGUUUGUGGCUCAACCCUAAAAUUGCAGUUGAAACUGGUUGACUUGAGUAUAGUAGAGGGGGGCGGAAUGCGUGGUGUAGCGGUGAAAUGCAUAGAUAUCACGAAGAACUCCGAUUGCGAAGGCAGCUUACUGGACUAUAACUGACACUGAGGCACGAAAGCGUGGGGAUCAAACAGGAUUAGAUACCCGAGUAGUC